rnacentral:rRNA from 1 species
AGUGAACGCUGGCGGUAGGCCUAACACAUGCAAGUCGAACGGCAGCACAGUAAGAGCUUGCUCUUACGGGUGGCGAGUGGCGGACGGGUUAGGAAUACAUCGGAAUCUACUUUUUCGUGGGGGAUAACGUAGGGAAACUUACGCUAAUACCGCAUACGACAUACGGGUGAAAGCAGGGGAUCUUCGGACCUUGCGCGAUUGCAUGAGCCGAUGUCGGAUUAGCUAGUUGGCGGGGUAAAGGCCCACCAAGGCGACGAUCCGUAGCUGGUCUGAGAGGAUGAUCAGCCACACUGGGACUGAGACACGGUCCAGACUCCUACGGGAGGCAGCAGUGGGGAAUAUUGGACAAUGGGCGCAAGCCUGAUCCAGCCAUACCGCGUGUGUGAAGAAGGCCUUCGGGUUGUAAAGCCCUUUUGUUGGGAAAGAAAAGCAGCAGGUUAAUACCCCGCUGGGCUGACGGUACCCAAAGAAUAAGCACCGGCUAACUUCGUG